GAUGAACGCUGGCGGCGUGCCUAAUACAUGCAAGUCGAGCGAACAGACGAGGAGCUUGCUCCUUUGACGUUAGCGGCGGACGGGUGAGUAACACGUGGGUAACCUACCUAUAAGACUGGGAUAACUUCGGGAAACCGGAGCUAAUACCGGAUAAUAUUUCGAACCGCAUGGUUCGAUAGUGAAAGAUGGCUUUGCUAUCACUUAUAGAUGGACCUGCGCCGUAUUAGCUAGUUGGUAAGGUAACGGCUUACCAAGGCAACGAUACGUAGCCGACCUGAGAGGGUGAUCGGCCACACUGGAACUGAGACACGGUCCAGACUCCUACGGGAGGCAGCAGUAGGGAAGCUUCCGCAAUGGGCGAAAGCCUGACGGAGCAACGCCGCGUGAGUGAUGAAGGUCUUCGGAUCGUAAAACUCUGUUAUUAGGGAAGAACAAACGUGUAAGUAACUGUGCACGUCUUGACGGUACCUAAUCAGAAAGCCACGGCUAACUACGU
rnacentral:rRNA from 1 species